rnacentral:rRNA from 1 species
CCUACGGGGGGCAGCAGUCGAGAAUCAUUCACAAUGGGGGAAACCCUGAUGGUGCGACGCCGCGUGGGGGAAUGAAGGUCUUCGGAUUGUAAACCCCUGUCAUGUGGGAGCAAAUUAAAAAGAUAGUACCACAAGAGGAAGAGACGGCUAACUCUGUGCCAGCAGCCGCGGUAAUACAGAGGUCUCAAGCGUUGUUCGGAAUCACUGGGCGUAAGGCGUGCGUAGGCUGUUUCGUAAGUCGUGUGUGAAAGGCGCGGGCUCAACCCGCGGACGGCACAUGAUACUGCGAGACUAGAGUAAUGGAGGGGGAACCGGAAUUCUCGGUGUAGCAGUGAAAUGCGUAGAUAGCGAGAGGAACACUCGUGGCGAAGGCGGGUUCCUGGACAUUAACUGACGCUGAGGCACGAAGGCCAGGGGAGCGAAAGGGAUUAGAUACCCCAGUAGUC